rnacentral:rRNA from 1 species
UACGUAGGUGGCAAGCGUUGUCCGGAUUUAUUGGGCGUAAAGCGAGCGCAGGCGGUUCCUUAAGUCUGAUGUGAAAGCCCCCGGCCUAACCGGGGAGGGUCAUUGGAAACUGGGGAACUUGAGUGCAGAAGAGGAGAGUGGAAUUCCAUGUGUAGCGGUGAAAUGCGUAGAUGUAUGGGGGGAACACCAGUGGCGAAGGCGGCUCUCUGGUCUGUAACUGACGCUGAGGCUCGAAAGCGUGGGGAGCAAACAGG